rnacentral:rRNA from 1 species
GAUUAUUGGGCGUAAGGGCUCGCAGGCGGUUUCUUAAGUCUGAUGUGAAAGCCCCCGCCUCAACCGGGGAGGGUCAUUGGAAACUGGGAAACUUGAGUGCAUAAGAGGAGAGUGGAAUUCCACGUGUAGCGGUGAAAUGCGUAGAGAUGUGGAGGAACACCAGUGGCGAAGGCGACUCUCUGGUCUGUAACUGACGCUGAGGAGCGAAAGCGUGGGGAGCGAACAGGAUUAGAUACCCUGGUAGUCCACGCCGUAAACGAUGAGUGCUAAGUGUUAGGGGGUUUCCGCCCCUUAGUGCUGCAGCUAACGCAUUAAGCACUCCGCCUGGGGAGUACGGUCGCAAGACUGAUACUCAAAGGAAUUGACGGGGGCCCGCACCCGCGGUGGAGCAUGUGGUU